GAUGAAGAACGUAGCGAAAUGCGAUACGUAGUGUGAAUUGCAGAAUUCAGUGAAUCAUCGAAUCUUUGAACGCACAUUGCGCCCUUUGGUAUUCCAAAGGGCAUGCCUGUUCGAGCGUCAUUUGUACCCUCAAGCUUUGCUUGGUGUUGGGCGUCUUGUCUCCAGUCCGCUGGAGACUCGCCUUAAAGUCAUUGGCAGCCGGCCUACUGGUUUCGGAGCGCAGCACAAGUCGCACUCUUUUCCAGCCAAGGUCAGCGUCCAACAAGCCUUUUUUCAACUUUUGACCUCGGAUCAGGUAGGGAUACCCGCUGAACUUAAGCAUAUAAUAAGCGGAGGA
rnacentral:misc_RNA from 1 species